AGGAUCAUUACAGUAUUCUCUAGACUGGAUUUGCAUCAGCCGAAGAAGUGCCACACCUGCGCUGCUGAAAUAUUGCGUGCGCGGUGAUCUCUUGUUUGGUAGCAAUUCCGUUAAAGUCUGGAAAUCUCCUUACACACUUUGUUUUCUUAUUAGAGACAAAUUUGCUUUGGUCAGUGACUGUGUAAAAGCAGCACCAGCUGGCCAGAGGUUUAACAAAACUCUUUUUCAUUUUCCUUUGGAAGAUUGAAAAUCUGUAUUAUUUCUUGUCAAAUUACUAAAAGUUGCGUAGCAGCUUUUCUAAAUUUUAAAACUUUCAACAACGGAUCUCUUGGUUCUCGCAUCGAUGAAGAACGCAGCGAAAUGCGAUAAGUAAUGUGAAUUGCAGAUUUUCGUGAAUCAUUGAAUCUUUGAACGCACAUUGCGCCCUCUGGUAUUCCAGAGGGCAUGCCUGUUUGAGCGUCAUUUCCCUCUCAAACCCCUAGGGUUUGGUGAUGGGCAAUACUCCCGCGAGGGAGUUUGCUUGAAAUGCAUUGGCAUGAGUUUUUGAUACGAACCUUAGCUGUUUAUUCAAUGUAUUAGGUUUAAUCCAUCGUUGAUUGACAACUUUUGAUUCAUUCAAAGUUUGGCUCUGCCUAACAAACUUUAUCAUAAAGUUUGACCUCAAAUCAGGUAGGAGUACCCGCUGAACUUAA
rnacentral:sRNA from 2 species